CCUACGGGGCGCAGCAGUCGAGAAUCAUUCACAAUGGGGGAAACCCUGAUGGUGCGACGCCGCGUGGGGGAAUGAAGGUCUUCGGAUUGUAAACCCCUGUCAUGUGGGAGCAAAUUAAAAAGAUAGUACCACAAGAGGAAGAGACGGCUAACUCUGUGCCAGCAGCCGCGGUAAUACAGAGGUCUCAAGCGUUGUUCGGAAUCACUGGGCGUAAAGCGUGCGUAGGCUGUUUCGUAAGUCGUGUGUGAAAGGCGCGGACUCAACCCGCGGACGGCACAUGAUACUGCGAGACUAGAGUAAUGGAGGGGGAACCGGAAUUCUCGGUGUAGCAGUGAAAUGCGUAGAUAUCGAGAGGAACACUCGUGGCGAAGGCGGGUUCCUGGACAUUAACUGACGCUGAGGCACGAAGGCCAGGGGAGCGAAAGGGAUUAGAUACCCCAGUAGUC
rnacentral:rRNA from 1 species